rnacentral:rRNA from 1 species
CAGUAGCCGCGGGAAUACGAAGGGGGCUAGCGUUGUUCGGAAUUACUGGGCGUAAAGCGCACGCAGGCGGCUCGAUAAAUUAGAAGUGAAAGCCUUGGGCUUAACCUGAGAAUUGCUUUUAAGACUGUCGAGCUUGAAUCCAGAAGAGGGUAGUGGAAUUCCGAGUGUAGAGGUGAAAUUCGUAGAUAUUCGGAAGAACACCAGUGGCGAAGGCGACUACCUGGUCUGGCAUUGACGCUCAUGUGCGAAAGCGUGGGGAGCAAACAGGAUUAGAUACCCCAGUAGUCCCUGUCUCUUAUAC